rnacentral:rRNA from 1 species
ACGCUGGCGGCGUGCCUAAUACAUGCAAGUCGAGCGGACCAAAGGGAGCUUGCUCCUGGAGGUCAGCGGCGAACGGGUGAGUAACACGUGGGCAACCUGCCUGUAAGACUGGGAUAACAUCGAGAAAUCGGUGCUAAUACCGGAUAAUAAAAAGAACUGCAUGGUUCUUUUUGAAAGAUGGUUUCGGCUAUCACUUACAGAUGGGCCCGCGGCGCAUUAGCUAGUUGGUGAGGUAACGGCUCACCAAGGCAACGAUGCGUAGCCGACCUGAGAGGGUGAUCGGCCACACUGGGACUGAGACACGGCCCAGACUCCUACGGGAGGCAGCAGUAGGGAAUCUUCCGCAAUGGACGAAAGUCUGACGGAGCAACGCCGCGUGAGUGAUGAAGGUUUUCGGAUCGUAAAACUCUGUUGUUAGGGAAGAACAAGUGCCGUUCGAAAGGGCGGCACCUUGACGGUACCUAACGAGAAAGCCACGGCUAACUACGUG